ACGAUCAUUUAGGGGAUUCACUCACGCAUUUAAAUGCGGUUGUCACUCCCGAAAGUUUGCAGUGUGUACGAAAAUGGUAAAAAAGUAAGAAACUGAGAGCAUAUCAGCUGUGUGUAGUGAAAGAAACGCUGCACGCUGUAGCCGCAGUCGUUUACCGUUAAUCGUUCAGCAGAGAAGUGAAAUACUGUCAAAGGUAACCCGGGAUUCAGUUGACCCGGGGUUUACCUGUACUGCAGUAUCAUGACAUUAUAUUAUAAUGCGUGACGUCACAGAGAACUCCGCUCAGUCUUUAUGGAACGCAGUUUGCAGUGUGUGUGGUCAUUCUACAGUGAGGCUCAGAAAAGUAAGGUUGACAACACUCAGGGAGACACUGCAAGGGAGACCUUUGCUCACCUCCGAGUGCAGAAAGGGUAGCUGUAGAAAAGCUGCCAGCCUUGACUCAUGGACCCAACGUACAGAGUAGCAUCGUGCCUACCGUCACCCGGAUCCAACAUCACCGCCAGUGAACAGAGCAAGCCAGGACCGGGCCAAGGACCUCGUCCCCUACGCGUUGCAGCUUCACGGACUGUGUUCUGAUAAAAAAAACCUCCACCAUCCCGCUUAAAAGCGGUAAGACUCUCUCGCUUGUUAUUAUAACCUGCAUUUCAUGCCACAUGCAUAGUUUCGCUUCUUUCGUCGGCAAAGGCGGUAAGUGUAAUGAAGUAGUAAGGCUGACGUAGAAGAUUGCAGAACUAGAACCGAACACUAGUUGAGGAUAGUAAUUACUUAACUAGUGUUAAUGUUGCCGACACUGUUUCAGAAGCACCUAGUGUUACAGGUAAUGAACAUGGCUCGGUUCCGACAUUAGCGUCAAGGCGGCUGACUAACUGGCGGACUGUCAGGUGGCAUAGUCGUAAGCAGUUUUGGCACAAUCCCGCUCCUUUGUUAAUUACAAAUAGGUACUCUCCACUCAGCAGCACACCAGCUGAGAUGCCUGUCACAAGUUCCCUGGUUCUAGGUGAUUCUAUUCUCAGGAACGUGGGAAUAAAGGCACCAGCCGCUUCUGACAUUAGAUCCAAACUUAAAGUUUAUAUUACCAUAAUAUAUACACCCAUUUCGACUGUGUCUGUUCCUCGAACAAACAAAUACAUUUGAAAUAAUGUUCAGAUCAUAACAACAAAUAGCUUUCUUUUAUCCUAGCAACUAUCUACAGACAAUCAGGCCACCACACAAACUUUCUUAAAAAAAAGCAGAUUUCCUGUCUAAUCGAAUAGUCACUGCAGAUAAAGCUCUUAUUGUUGGUGACUUAAAAAAAUCAACAUUAUUUUGUGGAUUUAGUAUAAUACAAUGUGUUUCAUGGUUUAUGGUUAAAAAACACAUUAUUUUCCACAUAUCGUACAUUUUUGUAGCUCCAGAUAUCCCGUAUUCCUUAAAACGCUCUGAUUUGUUACAAAGCUAACCAAUUUGAAAAGUGCAGGGUCCCCGAUUGGUCAGCUUACCAGUACGUUGUGAUUGACCUGAAUACAUUUGAAGUCAGCCAGAAAUGUGACGCUCGUGUUUUGAGGAUUAGCUUCCAAUCUAAUACUGACAGGAAUUAAUAUUGUCUUUACUACCUUAUCAAUACGAGCCGAAUUUGAUCCAGAAAAUGCAGAUGACCAAGUUGAUCGAUCAACUUUGCCAGCGCGGCUUGAGCAGGAGAUAAAAGAUUUUUAAGGAUUACUAAACAUUAAGUGAGUAAACUGUUGCGUACAAUCCAUGUGUUUGUUGUAGUCCAAGAAAAGAGAUUCAUCUUUGGGAUUUGUACCUUUUGCAUAUUGUUAACAUGUACUAAUACACACUUACACACCAAAGGAAAUGUAAAAUCGUGAAUCGGAUAAUACUUGCUCUUUAACAUCCACAAUGAUAAUCCAAAAGAUACAUUAGGAUUAACUUUUAUGGAUGUUCUCAACUCUCAGUAUUAAAGAGGCACUAAUUUGAGCACAAAAAGUGUAUAUAUUUAUUGUUGGGGUCUGCCACAAUACUGUUGUUUGAAUGAAAGUUAAAAAACACAUUAUUUUUUUUAUAAUAUAGAUAUUUGCAACACCUCUCACUAAAACGAUUACAUUUAUACUCAGGGCUGCGAUUCUCAACACACAUUCUAUUGAUUCUCAAUAGCGUUGUUUCUAAUUGAACUUAGCGUGCUUUGAAGACUUUCUCACAUACGACAUUAGCAGCUGCCGUCCAUGGUGAUGGUGCUGAAUUGGUAGACAGCACUCUUUCUGGAUCCAUAUUUCAUACAGACAUGUUUAAACAUACAUUCAUACUUAUCGGGGCCGAUUCAGGCUUUUUGGCUGGAUCGGAUAUCGGAUCGAGGAUUGACAAUGACCGAUCCAAUUCCGAUAUGUGCAUUAGCCGUGGUUGUUACUGACAAGCUAUUAAUAAAAGUAUUAUAAAAGCACCAUAAACUUUUUUUGCACUAUAUUCAAAGUCUUUUAAUACACUCAAUAGCUUCAUGUGAAGGAACAAGUGCACAUUUAAAGAUAUUUAAGUUCACAGAAACACUGUAACUGGGUUAAUCCACUAGUGAAGCGGACGGAUGAAACGUGUCAUUUACACAGGCGCAGACACAGACGAUAACUGUAGGCUAUUUUAAAGAUCUGAUUUUAAAACCUCAGUAUAAGCUGUUGGACAGUUCACUAUGUGUUGAGCACACGAUGCGUCUAUAAAGGGUAUGCAUUGACGUCACUUUUCCACAUGAUCACACCGGAACUCGCACUGUUGAGUGGCAAACGUUCAACAAAAUGACUGGUUUUCAUAGCGGCAGCUGCGAAAAUGCCAGUAAAACUGACUAUUAUCAGCUUAAAGGCGGAGUCCACGAUGUUUGAAAAAGGCGUUGGAAAAGGAGACGGGCCGACUACCAAAACACACUUAUAGCCAAUCAAAUCCAAUCAAAUGCCGGGUUGCGUAUGUGUGGGGCGGGUCUUUCAACAGAAGGUCCAGAUUCUAUUGGGGUAGGGGCGUGUUUGUUUAGGUGAUUUCAAAUAUCAACAUUGGCUUUCAAACAUCAUGGACUCCGCCUUUAAAUUGAAUUUAGUUGGACUUGAUAGCAGAGGUGGAAAAUACUUAGUUACAUUAGUUACAUUUUCCAAGCCUCUGUGCUUUAUUGGGGUGUUUGCCUUGGUAAAAAUGUAACUUCACUACAUUCUAAAGCAUAGACUGUGUGUUCUUUAAUAUUGCAUAUUAAAAUUGAU